CCAGACUUUAAGGGUUAUGAAUCCCACGGACCAAUCACUGUAUGAGUGGAGGGGAGCAACCGCUGUGAUUGGCCAAGCCUGAGUCACAUGUCCAUCCCUGUGUCCUGGCAGUAGAAUAAGGCAAUGGCAGUCCCAGCAGUAUCGCAAGCUGAGAGUUGAGGAGGCCUGAGUAUUUCCUCAUCCUUCUAGCCCGACUUUGUCCUGGGCCCCUCAGAGGCCAGCUAAUGCAGAUGGAGCUCCAAGGCUGUGGGCAGCAUUGCGUGAAACUCUGCUUGGAACAGAAGGUAGAGGGAUGAGGGAAAAUGUUACCUGCUGUCACCAAACUUCCGCCCAGGAAAAUAGCCUGAGAUCCUAAGGUGGAAUGAGGAGGGGAUGGGGAGUGCUGAGCUGAGCAACACUGUGGGUGGCCGGAACAAUGCGGGUGCAGAGAGGGUGGGGGUGGGGGCCACAAAGACAUGAAUAUUCUGUCUUAAUUUAUACAGUGUAUGAUGCUGCAAUAAAACUCCCCUUAUAUAAAUCCCUGAAUUGCCGCUUAAAUUUUCUAGAGCAAGAGAGUAAGCUUCCCUGAGCAGGGGAGAGUAGGUGGGGAGGGGUCAAAGGGAAGGAACAGAGACAAAGCAAGAUUCAGAGAACUCAGAAGAAGCAGGAAAUUGGAGCCAGAGGUGACUCAAGGAUGCAUAAGCCCUGGAAUUACCAGAAAUCAUGAGGAGGGCAUCAGCCACUGAACCAGGGCUCUUUACAGAACAUAAGGGCUGGAGCAAGAAAUAUACGAGAUGAGCCUGGAGCAUCUUGUAGCACCGGAAAAUAGGAAAGUGCUCAACAAAUAUAAAAAGCCCCACAGGACAAGUGCCCAGAUCAGAUAUGAGUUCUUAUUGGCUAACCAUACUUCACACCAGAAUCUUGGAGGCACUGUUCUUCCUUGUUAAGGUUCUCACUAGAGGGCCAUUUUCUGCAAUCAAUCCGCUCGACAAACACUGGUGGAGCUCAGCUAUAACCCAAACCUGGGAAGCCGGUCAGGGAAUGGGGGACAGAGGGAGUCACUGAAUUCCUGGCCCAAGAAGCCAGGCCCCAGCCUGGACACGGCAGCUUGGCAACGUGACCCGCUUCUCGCCAGGGCCUGCACGGAAGGGAGGCUGAGACCCCAGCGCCAGCCCCGCCUCCUGCCCCGGAGACCGCACAGCCGCCUUUCCCGGACUCUGACUUUUGGAUCCUCCAAUGGGCCUCCCAUCAGUUUGGCCUCGGACCAGCCUGAGCGGAGGCUGCUGUCUCCUCAUGGCCCAACCCCACCACGCCUCCCUCCUCUCGCCACUCCCACCCUGAGACAAUGCGACAACGCUCUGCUGCACAACACAGAUGGGCCCGACCGCACUGGCAGUCCUGAGGCCGUCAUGGAAAGAAACCAAGAGGGAACAAGAGGCACAGUGCGUGCCCAGCCCCACCUCGGCCCUGGAACGUGAGCCGGAGGCCUGCGCAUGCGAUCACAGAGGAGAACGCGCCGGAACACAACGCAGCCCUGCCCUUCUGCAAACGACCAGAGCCCGCGGCCACACACGGCAGACCCUUCCCCGCUCCCUUGCAGACAGCAGUGUUGGCCAGGCUCCCCAAGCUUGAGCUCUAUCAAAAAGAUCCAGGAGGGAAC
ensembl:lncRNA